rnacentral:rRNA from 1 species
AUGACUACUAUUUUCACAAACUCUUCCUGCAACAGUGAGUCGAUUAGAUUGAAGAUCAACUGUUUAGCAUCGGUAUCUUGUGUGCACGCAAGAUGUUUGACAAUAUGCUCCUCUGCCGGGACAUCAUACACUCCAGGAGUGCAAUAUGACGGCAAGUCUUUAAUGACGUCAGCAUUACACUAUGUAAUGAUUUUACUAUGUCAUCCAAAUAUCUACCUAAAAAGAAAACUGUCAUCAAUAUUUUCCGGUAUUUUUCUUCUGUUUUUUAGCAUUACUUUGAUGCAUAUGAUUUUUUAUCCAUAA